AAAUUGAAGAGUUUGAUCAUGGCUCAGAUUGAACGCUGGCGGCAGGCCUAACACAUGCAAGUCGAACGGUAGCACAGAGAGCUUGCUCUCGGGUGACGAGUGGCGGACGGGUGAGUAAUGUCUGGGAAACUGCCUGAUGGAGGGGGAUAACUACUGGAAACGGUGGCUAAUACCGCAUAACGUCGCAAGACCAAAGAGGGGGACCUUCGGGCCUCUUGCCAUCAGAUGUGCCCAGAUGGGAUUAGCUUGUUGGUGAGGUAACGGCUCACCAAGGCGACGAUCCCUAGCUGGUCUGAGAGGAUGACCAGCCACACUGGAACUGAGACACGGUCCAGACUCCUACGGGAGGCAGCAGUGGG
rnacentral:rRNA from 1 species